AUCAUAGCUGGGUGGAACUGCUGUUUGUUCCCCUCAUUCAGAAGCUUUCAUGCCUCCUUCUGGCACCAUAAGCUAGUCCUCGGGGAGAAGACUUUCAGAUACCAUGUGACCAAACUCCUGUCACCAUGACAUACAUCCCUGCUGUGAGAAUGUAGCCAGCUGCUGCACCAGAGAAGUCUGCAGCACCCACCUGUAUGUGGACAUCAUGUAACCAGCCAGCUUCCCACCCCUCCACCACACCUUCCCUGCUUGCUGCCCUGUCUUCCUCACCAUGAUGGACUGUAUCCCUCUGGGCCUGUUAGCCAAAAUAAAC